GACGAACGCUGGCGGCAUGCCUAACACAUGCAAGUCGAACGGUAAGGCUUCCUUCGGGAAGUACACGAGUGGCGAACGGGUGAGUAACACGUGGGUAACCUACCCUUGACUGGGGGACAACCGAGGGAAACUUCGGCUAAUACCCCAUAACAUAUGGAUCGGCAUCGGUUCAUGUUGAAAUUUUCGGAGGUGACGGAUGGGCAUGCGUAGCAUUAGCUUGUUGGUGAGGUAACGGCUCACCAAGGCGACGAUGCUUAGGGGGACUGAGAGGUUUUCCCCCCACACUGGUACUGAGACACGGACCAGACUCCUACGGGAGGCAGCAGUGAGGAAUAUUGGUCAAUGGGCGCAAGCCUGAACCAGCCAUGCCGCGUGCAGGAUGACGGCUCUAUGAGUUGUAAACUGCUUUUGUACGAGGGUAAAGUGGGUUACGUGUAACCUUUUGAAAGUAUCGUACGAAUAAGGAUCGGCUAACUCCGUGCCAGCCGCCGCGGUAA
rnacentral:rRNA from 1 species